rnacentral:rRNA from 1 species
AACGAACGCUGGCGGCAUGCCUAACACAUGCAAGUCGAACGAAGCCUUCGGGCUUAGUGGCGCACGGGUGCGUAACGCGUGGGAAUCUGCCCUUGGGUUCGGAAUAACAGUUAGAAAUGACUGCUAAUACCGGAUGAUGUCUUCGGACCAAAGAUUUAUCGCCCAAGGAUGAGCCCGCGUAGGAUUAGGUAGUUGGUGGGGUAAUGGCCCACCAAGCCGACGAUCCUUAGCUGGUCCGAGAGGAUGAUCAGCCACACUGGGACUGAGACACGGCCCAGACUCCUACGGGAGGCAGCAGUGGGGAAUAUUGGACAAUGGGCGAAAGCUUGAUCCAGCAAUGCCGCGUGAGUGAUGAAGGCCUUAGGGUUGUAAAGCUCCUUUACCAGGGAUGAUAAUGACAGUACCUGGAGAAUAAGCUCCGGCUAACUCCGUGCCAGCCGCCGCAGUAAAAC